rnacentral:rRNA from 1 species
GAUGAACGCUGGCGGCGUGCCUAAUACAUGCAAGUCGAGCGAACGGACGAGAAGCUUGCUUCUCUGAUGUUAGCGGCGGACGGUGAGUAACACGUGGAUAACCUACCUAUAAGACUGGGAUAACUUCGGGAAACCGGAGCUAAUACCGGAUAAUAUUUUGAACCGCAUGGUUCAAAAGUGAAAGACGGUCUUGCUGUCACUUAUAGAUGGAUCCGCGCUGCAUUAGCUAGUUGGUAAGGUAACGGCUUACCAAGGCAACGAUGCAUAGCCGACCUGAGAGGGUGAUCGGCCACACUGGAACUGAGACACGGUCCAGACUCCUACGGGAGGCAGCAGUAGGGAAUCUUCCGCAAGGGGCGAAAGCCUGACGGAGCAACGCCGCGUGAGUGAUGAAGGUCUUCGGAUCGUAAAACUCUGUUAUUAGGGAAGAACAUAUGUGUAAGUAACUGUGCACAUCUUGACGGUACCGAAGCAGAAAGCCACGGCUAACUACGG